GAGGGAGCUCGUGAUGGAGGCCAAGCGGCUGGAGACGGCGGACAACCUCACGGUCAUUGUGGUGUGCUUCGCAUCGGAGAUGGGAUCACAACAGCAGGAGCAGCCCGUGAGGCCCAGGAGCUGCAAGGGCCUGUCGACGGAGGCACUGUGCAACCUGAGGAGCUGGCUGGAGACCGACCACCGCUAGAGGGAGAACCUGAGGAGCUGGCUGGAGACCGACCACCGCUAGAGGGAGAACUUGAGGAGCUGGCUGGAGACCGACCACCGCUAGAGGGCGGCGGCAGCGGCUGCUUGAGUGUGGAGGAGGUUGGGUUCGGGAUGUGUAAAUACUAUGCUGACAACACUGGUUGACGCAUGAUGAGCGCUGGGCCAUUUGUUGAGAGGCGGCUGCGG
rnacentral:lncRNA from 1 species